UUGCUCUUCAACGAGGAAUACCUAGUAAGCGUGAGUCAUCAGCUCGCGUUGAUUACGUCCCUGCCCUUUGUACACACCGCCCGUCGCUACUACCGAUUGAAUGGCUUAGUGAGGCCUUGGGAUUGGCUUCGGGGAGCCGGCAACGGCACCCUGUUGCUGAGAACUUGGUCAAACUUGGUCAUUUAGAGGAAGUAAAAGUCGUAACAAGGUUUCCGUAGGUGAACCUGCGGAAGGAUCAUUAACGAGUUUUGAAAGGGGUUGUCGCUGGCCUUUCACGAGGCAUGUGCACACCCUGCUCAUCCACUCUCAACCUCUGUGCACUUAUUGUAGGUCGGUGGAAGGCUCGCAAGAGCUGGAAGCCUGCUUAUGUUUUACUACAAACGCUUCAGUUAUAGAAUGUUUACUUGCGUAUAACGCAUUUAUAUACAACUUUCAGCAACGGAUCUCUUGGCUCUCGCAUCGAUGAAGAACGCAGCGAAAUGCGAUAAGUAAUGUGAAUUGCAGAAUUCAGUGAAUCAUCGAAUCUUUGAACGCACCUUGCGCUCCCUGGUAUUCCGGGGAGCACGCCCGUUUGAGUGUCAUGGUAUUCUCAACCUUCCUCACUUUUGUGACUGGAAGGCUUGGAUGUGGAGGUCGUGCGGGCUCUCGCGAGUCGGCUCCUCUGAAAUGCAUUAGCGUGAACGUUUACGGAUCGCUAUCAGUGUGAUAAUUAUCUGCGCUGUUAGUGUUGAAGUAUUGCUUAGUGUCGCGCUUCUAACCGUCCUUCAGUUGGACAACUUAUCUGACAUCUGGCCUCAAAUCGGGCGGGACUACCCGCUGAACUUAAGCAUAUCAAUAAGCGGAGGA
rnacentral:rRNA from 1 species